AGUGAGCGCUGGCGGUAGGCCUAACACAUGCAAGUCGAACGGCAGCACAGUAAGAGCUUGCUCUUACGGGUGGCGAGUGGCGGACGGGUGAGGAAUACAUCGGAAUCUACUUUUUCGUGGGGGAUAACGUAGGGAAACUUACGCUAAUACCGCAUACGACCUACGGGUGAAAGCAGGGGAUCUUCGGACCUUGCGCGAUUGAAUGAGCCGAUGUCGGAUUAGCUAGUUGGCGGGGUAAAGGCCCACCAAGGCGACGAUCCGUAGCUGGUCUGAGAGGAUGAUCAGCCACACUGGAACUGAGACACGGUCCAGACUCCUACGGGAGGCAGCAGUGGGGAAUAUUGGACAAUGGGCGCAAGCCUGAUCCAGCCAUACCGCGUGGGUGAAGAAGGCCUUCGGGUUGUAAAGCCCUUUUGUUGGGAAAGAAAAGCAGCAGGUUAAUACCCCGCUGUUCUGACGGGACCCAAAGAAUAAGCACCGGCUAACUUCGU
rnacentral:rRNA from 1 species